GAUGAACGCUGGCGGCGUGCCUAAUACAUGCAAGUCGAGCGAACAGACGAGAAGCUUGCUCCUCUGACGUUAGCGGCGGACGGGUGAGUAACACGUGGAUAACCUACCUAUAAGACUGGGAUAACUUCGGGAAACCGUAGCUAAUACCGGAUAAUAUAUUGAACCGCAUGGUUCAAUAGUGAAAGACGGUUUUGCUGUCACUUAUAGAUGGAUCCGCGCCGCAUUAGCUAGUUGGUAAGGUAACGGCUUACCAAGGCAACGAUGCGUAGCCGACCUGAGAGGGUGAUCGGCCACACUGGAACUGAGACACGGUCCAGACUCCUACGGGAGGCAGCAGUAGGGAAUCUUCCGCAAUGGGCGAAAGCCUGACGGAGCAACGCCGCGUGAGUGAUGAAGGUCUUCGGAUCGUAAAACUCUGUUAUUAGGGAAGAACAAAUGUGUAAGUAACUAUGCACGUCUUGACGGUACCUAAUCAGAAAGCCACGGCUAACUACGUG
rnacentral:rRNA from 1 species